AAAACAUGCAAGUCGAGCGGACUUUAAAAGCUUGCUUUUAAAGUUAGCGGCGGACGGGUGAGUAACACGUGGGCAACCUGCCUGUAAGACUGGGAUAACUUCGGGAAACCGGAGCUAAUACCGGAUAAUCCUUUUCCUCUCAUGAGGAAAAGCUGAAAGACGGUUUACGCUGUCACUUACAGAUGGGCCCGCGGCGCAUUAGCUAGUUGGUGAGGUAACGGCUCACCAAGGCGACGAUGCGUAGCCGACCUGAGAGGGUGAUCGGCCACACUGGGACUGAGACACGGCCCAGACUCCUACGGGAGGCAGCAGUAGGGAAUCUUCCGCAAUGGACGAAAGUCUGACGGAGCAACGCCGCGUGAGUGAUGAAGGUUUUCGGAUCGUAAAACUCUGUUGUUAGGGAAGAACAAGUACAAGAGUAACUGCUUGUACCUUGACGGUACCUAACCAGAAAGCCACGGCUAACUACGUGCCAGCAGCCGCGGUAAUACGUAGGUGGCAAGCGUUGUCCGGAAUUAUUGGGCGUAAAGCGCGCGCAGGCGGUCCUUUAAGUCUGAUGUGA
rnacentral:rRNA from 2 species